AUAUUUACUCACCUUUUUCUCUCUCACUAUGUCUGCCGUGGUCUCCAUGAGAGUGCGCCACAUAAGAUUCCCCCAUUAAAAGUCAUGAAUUGAGUGGC
rnacentral:lncRNA from 1 species